AUCGAACGCUGGCGGCAUGCUUUACACAUGCAAGUCGAACGGUAACAGGCCUUCGGGUGCUGAUGCGUGGCGAACGGGUGAGUAAUGCACAGGAACGUGCCCAGCGGUGGGGGAUAACGUAGCGACAGCUGUGUUAAUAUCGCAUGUGAUCUGAGGAUGAAAGCGGGGGACGAGGCAGCAAUGUUUGGCCUCGUGCCUUUGGAGCGGCGGAUGUCAGAUUAGGUAGUUGGUGGGGUAAAGACCUACCAAGCCGACGAUCUGUAGCUGGUCUGAGAGGACGACCAGCCGCACUAGGACUUGGACGCGGCCCUGGCGCCUACGGGAGGCAGCAGUGUGGAAUUUUAGACAAUGGGCGCAAGCCUUAUCCAGCAAGGCCGCGUGCGAGAAGAAGACCUUCGGGUUGUAAACCGCGUUUGUACGGAGCAAAAAGGCUCUGGCUAAGACCUGGGGCUGAUGACGGUACCGGAAGAAUAAGCACCGGCUAACUACGUG
rnacentral:rRNA from 1 species